UACAGAGGGUGCAAGCGUUAAUCGGAAUUACUGGGCGUAAAGCGCGCGUAGGUGGUUUGUUAAGUUGAAUGUGAAAUCCCCGGGCUCAACCUGGGAACUGCAUCCAAAACUGGCAAGCUAGAGUAGGGCAGAGGGUGGUGGAAUUUCCUGUGUAGCGGUGAAAUGCGUAGAUAUAGGAAGGAACACCAGUGGCGAAGGCGACCACCUGGCUCAUACUGACACUGAGGUGCGAAAGCGUGGGGAGCAAACAGG
rnacentral:rRNA from 1 species